UACGACGGGGGCUAGCGGUGUUCGGAAUCACUGGGCGUAAAGCGCACGCAGGCGGAUCGAUAAGUCGGGGGUGAAAGCCCGGGGCUCAACCUCGGAAUUGCCUUCGAUACUGUCGGUCUCGAGGCCGGGAGAGGUGAGUGGAAUUCCUAGUGUAGAGGUGAAAUUCGUAGAUAUUAGGAAGAACACCAGUGGCGAAGGCGGCUCACUGGCCCGGUACUGACGCUCAGGUGCGAAAGCGUGGGGAGCAAUCAGG
rnacentral:rRNA from 1 species